UCACAUUUCCAAUGAAUGAAAUGGACUCGGACUGCAUUCAGACAAAGAAAUUCCCCAGGUGCCAGGCAUUUCUGACAUGAUGAUGCAUAUGCAUGAAAAGAGAUUGGAUUCGACUCUCCUACGAAUUUGCUGUCUUUACCACUGAAUGGCACUAAACCCAUGAAACAGCUCAAAGUACACUAAACCAACUUCCGCAAAGAGUUCAUACUUCUCCGGAAACACAGAGAGAGAGAGAGAGAGAGAGCUUCAGAUUAGACAGUCAAAAUCUUGAAACUCCUGUUUCCCUCACUAAGGUCUGUGAUGGUGUUCCCUUGCCAAGGAAAAGCCCGGAGAACGGACGGACAUACACGACUUCAACAUACUACUACGGCAAA